rnacentral:rRNA from 1 species
UGGGGAAUAUUGCACAAUGGGCGAAAGCCUGAUGCAGCAACGCCGCGUGAGUGAUGAAGGCCUUCGGGUUGUAAAGCUCUGUCUUUUGGGACGAUAAUGACGGUACCAAAGGAGGAAGCCACGGCUAACUACGUGCCAGCAGCCGCGGUAAUACGUAGGUGGCAAGCGUUGUCCGGAUUUACUGGGCGUAAAGGAUGCGUAGGCGGAUUUUUAAGUGAGAUGUGAAAACCCUAAGCUUAACUUGGGGACUGCAUUUCAUACUGGAAAUCUAGAGUGCGGGAGAGGAGAAUGGAAUUCCUAGUGUAGCGGUGAAAAUGCGUAGAGAUUAGGAAGAACACCAGUGGCGAAGGCGAUUCUCUGGACCGUAACUGACGCUGAGGCAUGAAAGCGUGGGUAGCAAACAGGAUUAGAUACCCUGGUAGUCCACGCCGUAAACGAUGAGUACUAGGUGUAGGAGGUAUCGACCCCUUCUGUGCCGCAGUUAACACAAUAAGUACUCCGCCUGGGAAGUACGAUCGCAAGAUUAAAAACUCAAAGGAAUUGACGGGGGUCAUAGCUGUUUUUCCU